rnacentral:rRNA from 1 species
AAGUCGUGCGAGAAAAUCCUGCUUCGGUGGGGUGAGUAGAGCGGCAAACGGGUGAGUAACACGUAAGGAAUCUACCUCCAAGUCCGGAAUAGCUCUGCCAACGCGGAGUUAAUGCCGGAUUGUGGUUAUCGGGUCGCAUGGCCUGGUGACUGAAGGUGACCUCUUCGUCUGAAAGUUAUCGCUUGGAGAUGACCUUGCGGCCCAUUAGCUUGUUGGCGGGGUAACGGCCCACCAAGGCUACGAUGGGUAGCCGGCCUGAGAGGGUGAACGGCCACAUUGGGAGUGAGACACGGCCCAGACUCCUACGGGAGGCAGCAGUAGGGAAUUUUGCGCAAUGGGCGAAAGCCUGACGCAGCAACGCCGCGUGAGGGAUGAAGGUCUUCGGGUUGUAAACCUCUGUUGAGUGGGAAGAAACGCAUCGAGGCUAAUAUCUUCGGUGUCUGACGGUACCAUUCGAGGAAGCCCCGGCUAACUACGUGCCAGCAGCCGCGGUAAUACGUAGGGGGCUAGCGUUGUUCGGAAUCACUGGGCGUAAAGGGAGUGUAGGCGGAGAUGCAAGUCAGAAGUGUAACCUACGGGCUCAAGCCGUAGCUUGCUUCUGAUACUGUGUCUCUUGAGUAGUGGAGGGGGA